rnacentral:lncRNA from 1 species
GUUUACCAUUACAUAAAUCCACUUUUACCAUCUAUUGAUAAUCCAACAUAUUGACAGCUAUACUUCUAUGAUACUAAUAAUGAAUUACCGAAUCGAUUAAACAUUUCGGAUAAAUUUUGUGAAUCAACCUUACAAAUAUUGAUUGAUAUCUUAAAGAUUAAUCCUUAUUCUAGGUUCUUCUGCUCUUAACUAGUUUUGGCAAUUUGCAUACAUGUUGAAUACAAAUACGAUGCGAUCUUGGCCCAGACCAGCGAGUUUAUAACACACCAACUGUUUCACAAGUAGCUUCUGUUUGGGUUGAUAAAGAUCCAUCUACAAAUAGCAGAGUCCGUGAUAUAAUGAUUUACGAUCAUACUGGCACUUCACACAAAGUGCACUAUUAUUUUGGUUGUUAUGACCCUCUUCUAUAGCCGUUGCUUUUUCCUUACAGUGAAUCUGGAUCGCACAAGGGCAUUCCUAGAUUUAAUAAAGAGGUGAUUGGAUAUUAUUCUAUACAAGAGAACCUUUUAAACAUGAGCAAUAUACAUUCUGUAAGUGAAUUGAUUAAAAGAGAAAGUCAAGAUUAAUAAUAUUGAUUUUUCCCAUUUAUUUUGUCCUAGAAUAUAGUUUGAUUAUUGUUUUUGUUUUUCUGUCUUGUAGUUAUGAAGGGAAAGAAAAGGUCACAAGUGUUAUGUCGAGAGUACUGCUGCUAUAAUUAAAGGUACGAGACUCAGGUAAUUGUAUCUUACUUCAUGCUGGUAGGAUUUUACAACAAUAUGUUGUUGAUAUGUAUAUGAAAAUUGAAAUUGUUAGAUUAGAUUAUUUUCGUAAUAAUAAAAAACAAUUACGAGUAGAGCUAUAUCAAGGAAUUGUUGAUAGUGUUGAAAUAGGUGAAACUAGAGGUCAUGAAAUCGGUCGAAUGAUUAUUUUACCAUCAUCAUUUACUGGAGGACCUAGGGAUAAUAAAAAGAGAUAUAUGGAUGCAAAGGCACUUGUUCAAAGAUAUGAUAAGCCAUAUGUGUUUUUGACAAUAACUUGUAAUCCUAAUUGGCUUGAAAUAAAGGAAGAACUAAGAUAUAAUGAUGAAAAACAAAAUAGACCUGAUUUGUUUGCAAGGAUAUAUAGAGCUAAAUUAGAAUAACUAAAAAAUGAUUUGUUUAGAAGGCAUCUUCUAGGACCUGUUUCCGCGUACAUAUACGUGGUCGAAUUCUAAAAGAGAGGUUUUCCACAUGCUCAUUUUUUGUUAAUUUUUAAAACUGGAUCUAAAGUUACAUCCAUUCCUUUAGUUGAUAAAAUUGUUUGUUGUAAAAUCCCAAAUAGAAAUCAUUAUCCACAUUUAUAUGAUACUGUUGUGAGAUACAUGAUGCAUGGUCCCUGUGGAACAUUAAAUCCAAAUAAUGUUUGUAUGGAAAGUAACAAAAAAUGUAAAAAUAAAUACCCGAGAGAAUAUGCAAUAACUUCACCGGGCAACAAUUCAUAUCCACAAUAUAGACACUGUAAUGACGAUAAAAAAGAUCAAGUCAGAGGACAUUUAUUGGAUAAUAGGUGGGUUGUACCUUAUAACCCUUACUUAACGGCUAAGUAUGAUUGUUGUGUUAAUGUAGAAACAUGUUCAACUGUUAAAGCUGUCAAAUAUUUAUAUAAAUAUGUUUACAAAGGAAAUGAUUGAAUUAGUUUUUCCGAAUUGAAAAUAACAAAGAUGUUGAUAUUGAUGAAAUUUCAAUAUAUCAAAAUGCUAGGCGGAUCUCUCCAUUUGAAGCAAUGUGGAAUAUUUAUGAAUUUGUAUUUUCUAAGAUGUUUCUAUGAAUUGGUUCACUACAUUUGCAUCUUGAAGACCAUCAAACAAUUACGUAUAGAGAUAACACACGAAGAACAAUGUAAAACUGAAUUCUUUCACAUGAAUAUCACAAAUGAAAAAGCUAGAACUCUUUUGUAUAGAGAUUUUUCGUCCAAUUUUGUGUGGGAUGUGAACAAAUGACCAUGGACUAUUAGAAAACAAAAUGUAAUUGGUAAAAUAGUUACAGCACUAUUAGACUUUGCUGAAAUAAACACUAACUCUGAUAACAAAAAAACAUCCACACCAUAAGCAAAACAAGUGCUCUUUCAAACUUCAGCCGAGCCAGUACUUCCUGAUAUACCAUCUGAGAGAAGUAUUGAUAGCUCCAGCUCUAAAACUCAUCGAGUCAUAAUAAUGAGAAAGCUCGGCUAAUUAUCGUCAUAUCUUUUCGUGGACGACAUCAAUGCUACAACCUAAAAGCGUGUUUUGCCAUCUCCGUCAAACUAAUACAACUGCACCCGUCAACGAAUAACUUUGUUUUACUUUGUAGCGCUGGUUUCUAUGAUAACUACUCCCAUGAAGUUUAACGUUAGUUAGCUGAAACGUACGAUAACUUCUUGAUGAUUUCAAGUUGAAACAUUUCUUAAUUUUGUAAUAGGAAUGUAUAACUGCCUUCACGAGGCUUUUGUAGCUCGCAACUUAGCUGUGAUAUUGUAUAAGUUCAAGCUUUAUCAAUUGUCUACAUUAACCUCUAUUUACCAUUACAUUCUAAUUAUAAGCUCUCAUAGUAUUCCAUAUAUUGUUCAGCUAAUACGCGUGAUUUCUUCUAUAUAUCUACGCUAUUAUAGAGUCAACUACAACAUUUCACGUGCAUUGCCCGUGCAUCUUACUAGUCAUCAGUAAAAAUGCCACAUUCAAAAUUAAUGACAAAUGAAGCAUUAUAUAACACAAAUUUAUGGCUAUUACAUAUGCAACAUUAUCCCAAUCAAACGUACUAUUAAUUAUAAUCCAAAUAAAUUAGGCAUUAGAUUACAAAUUUCUAUCCAUAUCAAGUAUUUUUAGAUCCAUACACGUUAUUAGCAAGAGAAAAAGAGUGAAAAUUGAAUUCCUAACUCAAUUGAAUGACAUUAUUAUUAAAUUAAUUAUACGAUAGAGUUUGAUAUAAUCUAAUUGGCAAAACAACUAAUCUUAUUUGAAUUCAAACUGACUGUAAGUGAUUAAUCUUGGUGAAUGUAUUUUUUCCAAAAUCCUUUAAAGAUAAUUUGCUUGGUCUCCUCUAACGUAGUUCAGUCUUAUCAAAAUUAUUAUUUUUUCUUUUUAAUCCUAAUGUGCACAAUUAAUUAUGAUCUGUCGAACGAGUCCAAUAUUUCUGUAGUAGUUUGGUCUAAAUCGAAAACUAGUAUUAUUAACCAAGGAGAUUUUUUAUUUGGCUCUAACUCGAGUUUGCCUUAUUCAAAACAACUUUUUCUUGAGUUUAGAAUGCACAAUUUAUUACGGCUUCAAAAUUAACCUAAUAUUGAUAUGGUAAUUCUAACUCUUUUAAUAGUUAACUAUUUGAACCAAUUAAAUAACUAUAAAAUAUAAUAUUUAUUUCUAUUUUGAUCCCUCAACUAUUAAGGAAAAAUUAUGUAGAUCCAAAUUAACUAUUAAUCAUAACAAACUGACUUGCAUAAAUACUUGACUAGACAUGACAUUUUUGUCAAUUGAAAAAAAAAAAUAUUUGAUAAAACUCGUAAAAUUUUGGGAUUCUACAGGAACAAUUAGAUAAUUAUAUGGUAAAUUAAGUAUUUUUCAAAAUUCCAAGAUUGUUGUCGAAUGGAUGUUGAAAUGCAAAUGCACAGUUUGGUAUUUGUGGGAUUUUUGGGAGGGGUUAUUAAACUUAAUGAGUUUAUUUGAGAUACAGAUUUCACACUAGUUCAGGGAAGGCAAUCAAGUGGUGGAUUUAUUAGCAAAAAUGGGUGCACAAGGGGUAAUGCAGAGAUUUACAUCUUCUGGUGACUUGCUUGAGUAGGCUCGAGGACUUGUCCAGUUGGAUCGCAUUGGAGUUCCCUAUUUACGUAAGUGAGUUGAUUGGUCUAGAAAAUUUUUAAAUUCGUUAUUUGUAAGGCUAUUUUGUCAUCAC